CUACGGGAGGCAGCAGUGGGGAAUAUUGGACAAUGGGCGAAAGCCUGAUCCAGCAAUGCCGCGUGAGUGAUGAAGGCCUUAGGGUUGUAAAGCUCUUUUACCCGGGAUGAUAAUGACAGUACCGGGAGAAUAAGCCCCGGCUAACUCCGUGCCAGCAGCCGCGGUAAUACGGAGGGGGCUAGCGUUGUUCGGAAAUACUGGGCGUAAAGCGAACGUAGGCGGCUUGGCAAGUCAGGGGUGAAAUCCCGGAGCUCAACUCCGGAACUGCCUUUGAAACUGCCUCGCUUGAAUCCUGGAGAGGCGAGUGGAAUUCCGAGUGUAGAGGUGAAAUUCGUAGAUAUUCGGAAGAACACCAGUGGCGAAGGCGACUCGCUGGACAGGUAUUGACGCUGAGGUUCGAAAGCGUGGGGAGCAAACAGGAUUAGAUACCCUGGUAGUCCACGCCGUAAACGAUGAGAACUAGCUGUUCGGGCUCUUAGAGCUUGAGUGGCGCA
rnacentral:rRNA from 1 species